UACGUAGGGUGCAAGCGUUAAUCGGAAUUACUGGGCGUAAAGCGUGCGCAGGCGGUUUUGUAAGUCUGACGUGAAAUCCCCGGGCUCAACCUGGGAAUUGCAUUGGAUACUGGCAGGCUAGAGUGCGGUAGAGGGUAGUGGAAUUCCCGGUGUAGCAGUGAAAUGCGUAGAGAUCGGGAGGAACAUCUGUGGCGAAGGCGACUACCUGGACCAGCACUGACACUGAGGCACGAAAGCGUGGGGAGCAAACAGG
rnacentral:rRNA from 1 species